rnacentral:rRNA from 1 species
AGUGAACGCUGGCGGUAGGCCUAACACAUGCAAGUCGAACGGCAGCACAGUAAGAGCUUGCUCUUACGGGUGGCGAGUGGCGGACGGGUGAGGAAUACAUCGGAAUCUACUUUUUCGUGGGGGAUAACGUAGGGAAACUUACGCUAAUACCGCAUACGACCUACGGGUGAAAGCAGGGGAUCUUCGGACCUUGCGCGAUUGAAUGAGCCGAUGUCGGAUUAGCUAGUUGGCGGGGUAAAGGCCCGCCAAGGCGACGAUCCGUAGCUGGUCUGAGAGGAUGAUCAGCCACACUGGAACUGAGACACGGUCCAGACUCCUACGGGAGGCAGCAGUGGGGAAUAUUGGACAAUGGGCGCAAGCCCGAUCCAGCCAUACCGCGUGGGUGAAGAAGGCCUUCGGGUUGUAAAGCCCUUUUGUUGGGAAAGAAAAGCAGCAGGUUAAUACCCCGCUGUUCUGACGGUACCCAAAGAAUAAGCACCGGCUAACUUCGUG